CCUGUACUGUGAGUUCCAACCAUGGAGUUGAAAAGAGAGAGUAAAAAAGAAGAAAAGAAAAAUCAAAGACCAACAUCUACUCAUCCACUGCAGUCCCUGUGCAGUCCUGAAGAAUUGAGAAGUCAAAUGAAUGGAAGAGACCUACAUGAUUAAAACAAAACAGUGACCUCUCCGAGUUGAGUUGAAGACAGGGGAGUGCUGGAGCCCACACAUGUACUUGGACGACCAGACUGUGUGCAUCUCUUCCUGAUGCUGCAUUCAGUGACAUCACAUUGGUAGUUUGAAAUCAACCGUAAUGGAGGUAUUUAUGGAAAUUGGCAAAUGUUACAAAUGAAAACUUUUCUUCCCUGGAAAACCAGUUGUUAAACAUUCACCAGCACAUCACUGAUUGAAGAGGAAGGAAGAUGAUUGGGUCAGGGGAAGUGAAGGUGGCUAAGGAUGGUAGGGUAAUUUGAUUUGCUCAGUAAAUGACCCAUGCCUUUCAAACUUAAUAGUUCCAGCCAUCUAUGAAUCUUCCAUGGUUCAGUAACUUUAUAAUGACAGCAAAAAUAGUAAUACAUCCUUGUUGCAAGUGC